UCAAGGAAGAAAGGGCGUACGGAGAAUGCCUGGGCACAGAGAGGCGAUGAAGGACGCAGCGAACAGCGAAAUGCGGCGGCGAGCGGUAAGCACGCGAUGACCCGCCGAUAUCCGAAUGGGGAAACCCCUCCGCUCAAGAAGCGGAGACCGCAUGACGACCGUCAUGACGGGGCAAUACGCAGGGAACUGAAACAUCUAAGUACCUGCAGGAAGAGAAAGAGAAGUCGAUUCCGUAAGUAGCGGCGAGCGAAAGCGGAGGAGCCCAAACCGGACACAGUCCGGGGUUGUAGGACCGCCGAUAAAGAUGACAUGAAGAGUCAGGAGAAUCCCAUGGGAAGGGGAUCCGAAGAGGGUGAGAGACCCGUAUCCGAAGGCUCGACAUGGAUCGAGGCGGCACCUGAGUACGGCGGGGCACGUGGAAUCCUGCCGGAAUCAUCGGGGACCAUCCCGAAAGGCUAAACACUACUCUGUGACCGAUAGCGAACCAGUACCGUGAGGGAAAGGUGAAAAGAACCCCGGGAGGGGAGUGAAAGAGAACCUGAAACCGCAUGCCCACAAGAAGUCAGAGCCCGUCAAAGGGUGAUGGCGUGCCUUUUGUAGAAUGAGCCGGCGAGUCACGAUCAGCAGGCGAGGUUAAGCAGGAGAUGCGGAGCCGCAGCGAAAGCGAGUCUUAAGAGGGCGGAAUAGUCUGAGGUCGUGGACCCGAAACCGGGUGAUCUAGCCAUGAGCAGGUUGAAGUCGGGGUAAGACCCGAUGGAGGACCGAACCGACCCCCGUUGAAACGUUGGCGGAUGACUUGUGGCUAGGGGUGAAAUUCCAAUCGAACCCGGAGAUAGCUGGUUCUCCCCGAAAUAGCUUUAGGGCUAGCGUCGCAGCGAGAGAGCCGUGAAGGUAGAGCACUGAAUAUGCGAUGGCCGCAUCCCGCGGUACUGAGCAUAAUCAAACUCCGAAUGUCACGGUGUCAUCUGCGGCAGUCAGACGGCGAGUGAUAAGGUCCGUCGUCAAGAGGGAAACAGCCCAGACCAUCAGCUAAGGUCCCAAAGUGCAUGCUAAGUGGAAAAGGAAGUGGAGACGUGCAGACAACUAGGAGGUUGGCUCAGAAGCAGCCAUCCUUCAAAGAGUGCGUAACAGCUCACUAGUCGAAUGACUCUGCGCCGAUAAUUUACCGGGGCUAAGCAUGACACCGAAGCUAUGGACAGGAAUGUGGUAGGGGAGCAUUGCAUGCAGCGGAGAAGCAUGACCGAAAGGGCAUGUGGAGCGCAUGGAAGAGAGAAUGCCGGCGUGAGUAGCGGCACGUGGGUGAGAAUCCCACGCACCGAUGGCCCAAGGUCUCCAGAGGAAGGCUCGUCCUCUCUGGGAUAGUCGGGACCUAAGGCGAGGCCGAAAGGCGUAGCCGAUGGACGACGGGUGGAUAUUCCCGUACCCGAUGUGUGGCGAUGGAGUGACGGAGAAGGCUCAGGCAACCAGCUGCUGGAAUAGCUGGGGCAAGCGAGAUACCUGCGCACCAGGGAAAUCCGGUGCGCAUAAGGGGAAGGCGCGAUGCAUACGGAAAGCUUCGGCAAGUACGGAAAAGCUGAGAGCAGGCUUCCAGGAAAAGCUUCUAGCACAACACACAUCGGCCCGUACCGAAAAUGGACACACAUGGGCAAGGAGAGAAUCCUGAGGUGAGCGAGAGAACUAUAGCUAAGGAACUCUGCAAAAUGACCCCGUAACCUAGGGAGAAGGGGUGCUCCAGAAAUGGAGCCGCAGUAAAACGGCCCAAGCGACUGUUUACCAAAAACACAGCUCUCUGCGAAGGCGCAAGCCGAAGUAUAGGGGGUGACGCCUGCCCGGUGCUGGAAGGUCAAGGGGAGCUGUCAGCGCAAGCGAAGCAGCGAGCCGAAGCCCCAGUAAACGGCGGCCGUAACUAUAACGGUCCUAAGGUAGCGAAAUUCCUUGUCGGGCAAGUUCCGACCCGCACGAAAGGCGUAACGAUUUGGGCGCUGUCUCAGCUGUAGACUCGGUGA
rnacentral:rRNA from 1 species